rnacentral:lncRNA from 1 species
UGCUUUUCCAAUGUCUCAAGACUUCAUCACGAACGUCUUUCACCAACAUAAUACAUCAGGGCAUUCCUCGGUGAAUAAAUACAAUGUGUCUUGGGGCAUUCCCCGACUCCAAAUGCAAGAAAGACAAACCAUUUCACAAACAUUCCAAAUACUCAUUUAAACAUUCAACGCAUUCCAUCAACACACCACUCCUAAAUUUUAACUACCCGGACCUAAACAUUUUACCUAUCCAAUGCGACCUAUCAUGAUACUAUAGAAUUCACAAACUUGAUUCUGAAUUAAGCAAAAUAACAAUGAACCAACACUAAACCAAAUUUACCCUUUUUAUCAAUCUCGCAAUUCCACCCCAAAUUCUCUUCUUAACACUAAAUUUCCACAAUUCACGAUUUCUAUUUCAACAAUCCACAAUCCCUUUUCAAUGAAAAUUAAGCAACAAGUCAAUAUCAAAGUAGCAAUUCAUCAACAAUCAAGAUCAAACAACACACGAGAUUCCAUCCAAUGCACCAUAUUCCAUCAAUAAUGAAACAAAAAGAGAAAAGAAGUAAAAAUAGACCUCAAUGAUGAUUUUAUUUAAAAUAUCAGUCAAUAAAAAAAAUGACUCCAUGUGUCGAAGAAUACCACAAAUCGACUACAAACCAACUCCAACACGACAAUCUUCGAAACCUGAUCCAAAACAAAACCCACAAAGGCCAGUCAGCAAAUCUCAGCUUGGUAUCAAGAAAACUGUGACCCAAGACAGACCAUGAUGAACCCACCGAGUCUCUCUAGUCACCUCACUCCUUGAUUUCCCUAUAUCAGUGUAUGUGUCCCCAGAUAUCGUGAGGUUGGCGAGUAUAUCCGUGAGCCAGAAGAAAUGAAAAAUGAUUAUGGUGUUUUCCUUUUUUUGUGAGUGGAAGAAUGAAGUGUCUUGUUGUGAUGGUAUAACGUGGAGAAGAUGAUGUUGAUUUUGUCCCCCCUCCGUAUUGUUACUUUGAGUGUAUAUAUGUAUUGGGGAAUUCCCU